UAUUGAAACACCAGUUCCCAUAUGAUCACAAAAGUUAAGCAACAUCUAGCCUGGUCAGUACCUAGAUAGGUGACUGUUUGGGAAUACCAGGUGCUGUU